rnacentral:rRNA from 1 species
GCGAGUGAAGCGGCAACAGCUCAAAUUUGAAAGCUAGCCUCCGGGUUCGCAUUGUAAUUUGUAGAGGAUGAUUUGGGGAAGCCGCCUGUCUAAGUUCCUUGGAACAGGACGUCAUAGAGGGUGAGAAUCCCGUAUGUGACAGGAAAUGGCACCCUAUGUAAAUCUCCUUCGACGAGUCGAGUUGUUUGGGAAUGCAGCUCUAAAUGGGAGGUAAAUUUCUUCUAAAGCUAAAUAUUGGCGAGAGACCGAUAGCGCACAAGUAGAGUGAUCGAAAGAUGAAAAGCACUUUGGAAAGAGAGUUAAAAAGCACGUGAAAUUGUUGAAAGGGAAGCGCUUGCAAUCAGACUUGUUUAAACUGUUCGGCCGGUCUUCUGACCGGUUUACUCAGUUUGGACAGGCCAGCAUCAGUUUCGGCGGCCGGAUAAAGGCUCUGGGAAUGUGGCCUCCACUUCGGUGGAGGUGUUAUAGCCCAGGGUGUAAUACGGCCAGCCGGGACUGAGGUCCGCGCUUCGGCUAGGAUGCUGGCGUAAUGGUUGUAAGCGACCCGUCUUG